GGUGCUGUGGCUUAGCUGGUCUUAGCGCUUGUCUUGUAAACAAGAGAUCUUGGGUUAAAAUCCCAGCAGUGCCU